CAAUAGCGUAUAUUAAAGUUGUUGCAGUUAAAAAGCUCGUAGUUGGAUUUCUGGUUGAAGCGACCGGUCGGGCGUUGAUUCGUCUGCACUGGAGUCGGUUUUGGCCAUCCUCUAGGAAAGUGCGUCUGGUAUUAAGUUAUCGAGCGUAUGAUCCUGGUCUUUUACUGUGAAAAAAUUAGAGUGUUUAAAGCAGGCUUUCGCUUGAAUACAUUAGCAUGGAAUAAUAAGAUAGGACUUUGGUGCUAUUUUGUUGGUUGAGCCUAAAGUAAUGAUUAAUAGGGAUAGUUGGGGGCACCUGUAUUGCGUUGUCAGAGGUGAAAUUCUUGGAUUUACGCAAGACAAACAGCUGCGAAAGCGUCUGCCAAGGAUGUUUUCAUUA
rnacentral:rRNA from 1 species